AUUGAACGCUGGCGGCAGGCCUAACACAUGCAAGUCGAGCGGAUGAAGGGAGCUUGCUCCUGGAUUCAGCGGCGGACGGGUGAGUAAUGCCUAGGAAUCUGCCUGGUAGUGGGGGAUAACGUCCGGAAACGGGCGCUAAUACCGCAUACGUCCUGAGGGAGAAAGAGGGGGAUCUUCGGACCUCACGCUAUCAGAUGAGCCUAGGUCGGAUUAGCUAGUUGGUGGGGUAAAGGCCUACCAAGGCGACGAUCCGUAACUGGUCUGAGAGGAUGAUCAGUCACACUGGAACUGAGACACGGUCCAGACUCCUACGGGAGGCAGCAGUGGGGAAUAUUGGACGAUGGGCGAAAGCCUGAUCCAGCCAUGCCGCGUGUGUGAAGAAGGUCUUCGGAUUGUAAAGCACUUUAAGUUGGGAGGAAGGGCAGUAAGUUAAUACCUUGCUGUUUUGACGUUACCAACAGAAUAAGCACCGGCUAACUUCGUG
rnacentral:rRNA from 1 species